rfam:Ogataea parapolymorpha DL-1 chromosome VII, whole genome shotgun sequence.
GACUUCGUGGCCAAGCUGGUUUAAGGCAUGCGACUGUUAAUCGCAAGAUCGUGAGUUCGAUCCUCACCGAGGUCG